rnacentral:rRNA from 1 species
UACAGAGGUCUCAAGCGUUGUUCGGAUUCAUUGGGCGUAAAGGGUGCGUAGGCGGCUUGGGGGGUCUGGUGUGAAAGCCCCGGGCUCAGCCCGGGAAGGGCGCUAGAAACUGCCGAGCUCGAGUGCCGGAGGGGAGAGUGGAAUUCCUGGUGUAGCGGUGAAAUGCGUAGAUAUCAGGAGGAAUACCGGUGGCGAAAGCGACUCUCUGGACGGCAACUGACGCUGAGGCACGAAAGCGUGGGGAGCAAACAGG